GACAGAGGGUGCAAACGUUGUUCGGAAUUACUGGGCGUAAAGCGCGUGUAGGCGGCUAUGUAAGUUGGGCGUGAAAUCCCACGGCUCAACCGUGGAAGUGCACCCGAAACUGCGUAGCUAGAGUCCUGGAGAGGAAGGUGGAAUGCUUGGUGUAGAGGUGAAAUUCGUAGAUAUCAAGCGGAACACCGGUGGCGAAGGCGGCCUUCUGGACAGUGACUGACGCUGAGACGCGAAAGCGUGGGGAGCAAACAGG
rnacentral:rRNA from 1 species